UUCCAUUUUCCGUAUAUUGAAACAUACAAAAAUAAAAAUCUGUUCUUAUCAGCUUAACGUCUGAUACACCCCCAAUGGGGGGGUUCAAAUGUUAAUCUAAUAUUUGAAAACUAGGCGGAGAGUUUGGGGCUUGCUCCUACUACACCGUGGGUUGUCCCGGUAUCGCACCUCCACCGGGAACGGCCCAUUAUAA
rnacentral:snRNA from 1 species